rnacentral:rRNA from 1 species
AGCGAACGUUAGCGGCGGGCCUAACACAUGCAAGUCGAGCGAGAAAGUGGCUUCGGCCAUCAGUAAAGCGGCGGACGGGUGAGUAACACGUAGGUAAUUUUCCUUCCAGCGGGGGACAACGUUCCGAAAGGGACGCUAAUACCGCGUACGUUUCUCGGGACUCCGGUCCUGAGAAGGAAAGCUAGGUAGCAAUAUCCGGCACUGGAUGAGAAGCCUGCGUAGCAUCAGCUAGUUGGUGGGGUAACGCCACCAAGGCGGUGAUCGGUAGCUGGUCUGAGAGGAUGAUCAGCCACACUGGGACUGAGACACGGCCCAGACUCCUACGGGAGGCAGCAGUGGGGAAUAUUGGACAAUGGGCGCAAGCCUGAUCCAGCAAUGCCGCGUGGGUGAAGAAGGUCUUCGGAUUGUAAAAGCCCCUUUUCGACGGGGACGAUGAUGACGGUACCCGUAGAAGAAGCCCCGGCUAACUUCGUGCCAGCAGCCGCGGU